CUAGUUAGCAAUUGGGCAUUUAAUGCAAUUGUUUGUGAUUAUUGGGACAUAAAGUUCUUCCAAUAGAGUAUCUAAUUUGAUCAAUUGCUCAACCAAUUAAGGUCUAAGCCUCAACUAGUAUGCAUUGCCAAGAAGCACCAUACCAACACUCUUGAGUAGUAAACUUCAAGCAAUGUUCCCUAGUUCCUUAUGCAUUUUAUGAUUUUACAAGUUUAAGACCAAUUUAAAUUGGAAACAGCGAUUAUGCUUC
rnacentral:lncRNA from 1 species